UACGUAGGUGGCAAGCGUUGUCCGGAUUUACUGGGUGUAAAGGGCGUGUAGCCGGGCUGACAAGUCAGAUGUGAAAUCCGGGGGCUCAACCCCCGAACUGCAUUUGAAACUGUUGGUCUUGAGUAUCGGAGAGGCAGGCGGAAUUCCUAGUGUAGCGGUGAAAUGCGUAGAUAUUAGGAGGAACACCAGUGGCGAAGGCGGCCUGCUGGGCGACAACUGACGGUGAGGCGCGAAAGCGUGGGGAGCAAACAGG
rnacentral:rRNA from 1 species